rnacentral:rRNA from 1 species
GAAUUCAACUCCUACGGGAGGCAGCAGUGGGGAAUUUUGGACAAUGGGCGAGAGCCUGAACCAGCCAAGUAGCGUGCAGGAUGACGGCCCUAUGGGUUGUAAACUGCUUUUAUAAGGGAAUAAAGUGGGUCACGUGUGACUUUUUGCAUGUACCUUAUGAAUAAGGACCGGCUAAUUCCGUGCCAGCAGCCGCGGUAAUACGGAAGGUCCGGGCGUUAUCCGGAUUUAUUGGGUUUAAAGGGAGCGUAGGCCGGAGAUUAAGCGUGUUGUGAAAUGUAGUGGCUCAACCUCUGCACUGCAGCGCGAACUGGUCUUCUUGAGUACGCACAACGUGGGCGGAAUUCGUGGUGUAGCGGUGAAAUGCUUAGAUAUCACGAAGAACUCCGAUUGCGAAGGCAGCUCACGGGAGCGCAACUGACGCUGAAGCUCGAAAGUGCGGGUAUCGAACAGGAUUAGAUACCCGUGUAGUCCAGGCGUU